GUGCGGCGUCGGCCAGCAGGAGGGCCUGCUGCGUGACGGGCGGGCCGACGUGGGCCUGCUGCACCUGCCGUUCGAUUCGGCGGCCGGCCUC
rnacentral:tRNA from 1 species